GGUUGUCCUGGGCCAGGAACCAGAACGAAGGGACUGGCUGGACUAAAACACAGAAGGAACGUGGCGGGCUGGGCAGACAGCCAGAAGGAACGGGGCUUCCUGGGGCAGAAUGGAGCAGGAAAGCAGCCUGCUGGGCAGCAAAUCCGUCAGGGAGAUUCUUGCUGUGCAGAAACUGAGAAGGAAGGGGGCUCACCAGGAAGAAACCCCGAUGGCAGAGGGCUUGCUCAGCUCAAAGCCAGAAAGAAGUGGACUUGCUCUACUGAAACAGUGAAGAAGAGAGGCUGGAAAGGUCAAACGCCAGAAGGAAUGAGGAUUGCUGGGCCCAAAGCCGGAAGGAAAGGUCCUUGCUGGGCUGGAAUGAAUAGAGAAGGGUUUUGCUGCUCCUGAGCCCAGAAGGAAGAGGGCUUGUAAGACCAUACCCAGAAGAAAGGGGGAGUGCUGGGCAACAAACCAGAAGGAAGGGGCUUGCUGGACUCAAACCCAGAAGGAAGGGGCUUGCUGGUCCAUACCCAGAAAGAAGUGGGUGUGCUGCGCCACAAAGCAAAAAGAAGGGGCACCGAGUCAAUGGGGGUUUCACGUGUUCUCAUGUUCAAUACAGAACCAGCAGUGGCAGCAACGAUGUCGAGACGACGACUUUCACAGGCAUGAGAAGUAAUGGAGAUGUGCACAGUUCUUCCAGCCGCUGUGCAAAGAGCGAAUCCAAACCAGCGCUCUUCUUUACAAGUCCCUUCAUGCUGUGAGGUUUCUGCCAACGGUGGGUGUGCUUACAACAGAGACAUGAGUUUUCUUUCAUUGUUAUUUUGUUCCAGGCGUGUACCUGGACAGAGCCCAGCAGUUCCAUGAUACCAUUGUGUCCGUGAUGCUUUCCUAGUGAAGGGAGUUUCACCUGGGUGAUACCUCCUUGUACAGCCAAAUGCACUGAA